AACGAACGCUGGCGGCAUGCCUAACACAUGCAAGUCGAACGAGACCUUCGGGUCUAGUGGCGCACGGGUGCGUAACGCGUGGGAACCUGCCCUUAGGUUCGGAAUAACUCCCCGAAAGGGGUGCUCAUACCGGAUAAUGUCUUCGGACCAAAGAUUUAUCGCCUUUGGAUGGGCCCGCGUUGGAUUAGCUAGUUGGUAGGGUAAAAGCCUACCAAGGCGACGAUCCAUAGCUGGUCUGAGAGGAUGAUCAGCCACACUGGGACUGAGACACGGCCCAGUCUCCUACGGGAGGCAGCAGUGGGGAAUAUUGGACAAGGGGCGAAAGCCUGAUCCAGCAAUGCCGCGUGAGUGAUGAAGGCCUUAGGGUUGUAAAGCUCUUUUACCCGGGAUGAUAAUGACAGUACCGGGAGAAUAAGCUCCGGCUAACUCCGUG
rnacentral:rRNA from 1 species